GGCAAUCAUAUCAGAAGACAUCGAUGAUACGUCAACAAAGUGCUCAGCUUCUGACUGGGUGCGCUGUCUCCAUUCAGUACCAUCAUUCUGACUCAAGGCAUAGCAGAAGACCUCAACAAUUCCACGGUUGUGCAUUCCAAAUACAGAACCCAUAAGAUGAGACAGAGGGUGGUUACCAAAGUCACUACUGACAUACCCCACUCUAAGACGACCAUUUAUU
rnacentral:misc_RNA from 1 species